CCUGCGGAGGGAUCAUUAAAGAGUUUACCGCUCUCCUAAACCAUCGUGAACUUGCCCGAGGAACGACUGUUGCCUCGGCGGGAGGCCCCUGGGAGGGGCCGCUGCCCGCGAGGGCGCCCGCCGGGGACGACGCAGACCCUUGUCUUGCAGGCCUCUCUGAGUGAAAACACAAUAGUCAAAACUUUCAACAACGGAUCUCUUGGCUCUGGCAUCGAUGAAGAACGCAGCGAAAUGCGAUAAGUAAUGUGAAUUGCAGAAUUCAGUGAAUCAUCGAAUCUUUGAACGCACAUUGCGCCCGCCAGUAUUCUGGCGGGCAUGCCUGUUCGAGCGUCAUUUCAACCCUCAGGCCCCGCCUGGUGUUGGGGACCCCGCGGCCGCCGCGGGCCCCGAAAAUCAGUGGCGUGCCCGCCGCGAGCCCGAGCGUAGUAAUUUCUCCUCGCUCCGGGACCGCGACGGGCGCCCGCCGUGAAACCCCCCACUCAUAAGGUUGACCUCGGAUCAGGUAGGAAUACCCGCUGAACUUAAGCAUAUCA
rnacentral:rRNA from 1 species